rnacentral:rRNA from 1 species
GAUGAACGCUGGCGGCGUGCCUAAUACAUGCAAGUCGAGCGAACAGACGAGGAGCUUGCUCCUCUGACGUUAGCGGCGGACGGGUGAGUAACACGUGGAUAACCUACCUAUAAGACUGGGAUAACUUCGGGAAACCGGAGCUAUUACCGGAUAAUAUAUUGAACCGCAUGGUUCAAUAGUGAAAGACGGUUUUGCUGUCACUUAUAGAUGGAUCCGCGCCGCAUUAGCUAGUUGGUAAGGUAACGGCUUACCAAGGCAACGAUGCGUAGCCGACCUGAGAGGGUGAUCGGCCACACUGGAACUGAGACACGGUCCAGACUCCUACGGGAGGCAGCAGUAGGGAAUCUUCCGCAAAGGGCGAAAGCCUGACGGAGCAACGCCGCGUGAGUGAUGAAGGUCUUCGGAUCGUAAAACUCUGUUAUUAGGGAAGAACAAAUGUGUAAGUAACUAUGCACGUCUUGACGGUACCUAAUCAGAAAGCCACGGCUAACUACGUG